rnacentral:tRNA from 1 species
ACCUAUCUGGCUCAGUCAGUACAGCAUGUGACUUUUGAUCUCAGGGUAAUGAGUUCAGGCCCCAUGUUGGGUU